rnacentral:rRNA from 1 species
AGAGUUUGAUCCUGGCUCAGCCUGAACGCUGGCGGCAUGGUUAAAACAUGCAAGUCGAACGCACCCCUCGGGGUGAGUGGCGAAAGGGCGAGUAACGCGAUCGUACGUACCCUAGGGUAGAGGAUAGCCGUGGGAAACCGCGGGUAAUACUUUAUACGCUCUUCGGAGGAAAGCUCCGGCGCCCUUGGAGCGGCGAUCGUCCUAUCAGGUAGUUGGUGGGGUAAAGGCCUACCAAGCCAAAGACGGGUAGCGGGUGUGAGAGCAUGACCCGCCGCAUCGAAACUGAGACACUGUUCGGACUCCUACGGGAGGCUGCAGUAACGAAUCUUCCGCAAUGCACGAAAGUGUGACGGAGCAAUGCCGCGUGUGGGAUGAAGCGGUUGCGCCGUGUAAACCACUGUCAGGACCUUGGAAGAACUGACCAGGUCCAAAGGAAGGGCCGGCUAAUCUCGUGCCAGCAGCCGCGGUAAUACGAGAGGCCCGAGCGUUAGGCGGAAUCACUGGGCUUAAAGGGUGCGUGGGCGGACAUGUAGGCAUCUUGUGAAAUCCCACAGCUCAACUGUGGAACUGCAGGGUGAACCCCAUGUCUUGAGGAUGGCAGAGGCUGUCGGAACGUUCGGUGGAGCGGUGAAAUGCGUAGAUAUCGAACGGAACGCCAAAGGGGUAGCCAGGCAGCUGGGCCAUUUCUGACGCUGAGGCACGAAAGCGUGGGUAGCAAACAGGAUUAGACACCCUGGUAGUCCACGCCGUAAACGAUGUGCACUAGAUCGUUGCAGGUCUGACCCUGUGACGGUCGUAGAGAAAUCAUUAAGUGCACCGCCUGGGGAGUACGGUCGCAAGGCUAAAACUCAAAGGAAUUGACGGGGGCUCACACAAGCGGUGGAGCAUGUUGCUUAAUUCGAAUCAACGCGAAGAACCUUACCUAGGCUUGACAUGCACGGAUUAGCUCUUGGAAACAUGAGUGACGCCUUCGGGUGGAACGUGCACAGGUGCUGCAUGGCUGUCGUCAGCUCGUGCUGUGAAGUGUCGGGUUAAGUCCCUUAACGAGCGCAACCCUUAUCGCUAGUUGCCAGCGCGUAAUGGCGGGGACUCUAGCGAGACUGCCGGUGUCAAACCGGAGGAAGGUGGGGAUGACGUCAAGUCCUCAUGGCCUUUAUGCCUAGGGUGGCAAACGUGCUACAAUGGCGUGUACAAUGCGACGCAAGACCGCGAGGUGGAGCAAAUCGCAAAAAGCACGCCCCAGUUCGGAUUGCAGUCUGAAACUCGACUGCAUGAAGCCGGAAUCGCUAGUAAUCGCAGAUCAGCCACGCUGCGGUGAAUACGUUCCUGAGCCUUGUACACACCGCCCGUCACGUCAUGGAAGCCGGGAGUGCCCGAAGACGCCCCAACUCAGGGGUGCCCACGGCAAGCUCGGUGACUGGGACGAAG